AACAAACGCUGGCGGCGUGCCUAAUACAUGCAAGUCGAACGGGGAAAGCUUUCGGGUGAGUACUAGUGGCGCACGGGUGAGGAACGCGUGGAUAAUCUGCCUUAGAGGGGGGGAUAACUAGUCGAAAGAUUAGCUAAUACCGCAUAAGACCACAGGAGCUGCGGCUCAAGGGGACAAAGGUUUUUCGCUCUAAGAUGAGUCCGCGUAAGAUUAGCUAGUUGGUCAUGUAACGGCUCACCAAGGACACGAUCUUUAACUGGUCUGUGAGGAUGAUCAGUCACACUGGAACUGAGACACGGUCCAGACUCCUACGGGAGGAAGCAGUAGGGAAUAUUGCACAAUGGAGGAAACUCUGAUGCAGCGACGCCGCGUGAGUGAUGAAGGCCUUCGGGUCGUAAAGCUCUGUCGCAGGGGAAUAACACAAUGAAGGUACCCUGUAAGAAAGGAUCGGCUAACUUCGUGCCAGCAGCCGCCGUAAGAC
rnacentral:rRNA from 1 species